CCAAGGGCUUGUCUCCAUCCUAAAUUCCCUCAGCUCACCGUUAGGGUGAUGACUUGAUGCCUGCAGCAUCCUUUGUUUGCUGACAUGGCAGGCAGCAUUUCUUUCAUCCACAGAACUUCCUCAACUCGGAAAGAAUCAGGGUUUGACCCUAACCAACCGGUCCUGAGGUCUACACAGGGCUUCUGCUCUGUUGCUUUGAAACCUCGGGAGCUUGCCAGGGUGAAGUCUGAAACUGGUUCUGUUACUCAGAAGUUUUUCAGAUGCUAAAACCACCACCAAAUGGAAGAAGUCAACUACUUGAUGAUCACUAGCUGGUAACUCUCAGACCUUCUGGCACCCAAGGAUUGAUCACCAUCGACCAAAGAACUGUGCACGACCUGAUCACAUAUCCUGGGACGCCCCUCCCUCACCUGCAGUAAACCUUUCUCUGCUCUGAA